UACGAAGGGGGCUAGCGUUGCUCGGAAUUACUGGGCGUAAAGGGCGCGCAGGCGGAUAUUUAAGUCGGGGGUGAAAGCCCAGGGCUCAACCCUGGAACAGCCUUCGAUACUGGAUAUCUUGAGUACGGGAGAGGUGUGUGGAACUCCGAGUGUAGAGGUGAAAUUCGUAGAUAUUCGGAAGAACACCAGUGGCGAAGGCGACACACUGGCCCGUUACUGACGCUGAGGAGCGAAAGCGUGGGGAGCGAACAGG
rnacentral:rRNA from 1 species